UACACGUUGAAAAAAAAAGACUCCCAUCUCCGCUCAUCUCGUUGAGCGCCCGCCGCCGGUGGUUCCCCGCUCCUCCGAGCGCCCGCCACCGCCGGUUCCCGGCUCCUCCAAGCGCCUGCCGCCUCCCUCGCCACGCUUGUAGGGUAGGCCGCCGCCGGCGCCCCAUCAGCUCGGGCAGCUUCGGCCACCGUCCUGAUCUCCCGCUCGGAGGGGAAACCCGUGCCUCACCCCUCUGCCGCGUGCAUCCCCGCCGGAGCUCGCCACCACAACCACGCUCCGGUGAGGCGAUUCGGCAGCCCCGGUCCAGCUGAAGCCCCGACGCCGGCGGCCGGCCCCAUCGCCCCCCCACUGCGGAAUCGCCGCCGCCACGAGCUACCGUUCCGGCCGACGACCGCCGUCGAUUUCCAGCCGAGGCAGUGCAUCCUCGCCGCAACUGCUUGCAUCCUGUGUGUUCAUUUCAUUGCUGCUACAAUGGACACCAAGAAGCCUCUUGUGUGUUCAUUUCACAUGAUGAACAAAAUUUGUGUAUGAAUUUUACUUUAGUAAUAUUGAUUGAAUUUCUUGAGGGCAAAGGAGCAAGAUGAGAACCCUUGUAUCAGAAUGAUGGUUGCCUGUCAUGUUUGGUCUGUAAUUGCCAAUAUCGAUACUUGAAGCAUCGUCUGUAAAUAGUCUAUUAAAUCCAUUUGGCAGCAAAAUUCCGAACCAAAAUGCAUACUCUGAAAUUUGAGUUCUGAA